rnacentral:rRNA from 1 species
AAGUCGAACGGUAACAGGAAGNAGCUUGCUNCUUNGCUGACGAGUGGCGGACGGGUGAGUAAUGUCUGGGAAACUGCCUGAUGGAGGGGGAUAACUACUGGAAACGGUAGCUAAUACCGCAUAACGUCGCAAGACCAAAGAGGGGGACCUUCGGGCCUCUUGCCAUCGGAUGUGCCCAGAUGGGAUUAGCUAGUAGGUGGGGUAACGGCUCACCUAGGCGACGAUCCCUAGCUGGUCUGAGAGGAUGACCAGCCACACUGGAACUGAGACACGGUCCAGACUCCUACGGGAGGCAGCAGUGGGGAAUAUUGCACAAUGGGCGCAAGCCUGAUGCAGCCAUGCCGCGUGUAUGAAGAAGGCCUUCGGGUUGUAAAGUACUUUCAGCGGGGAGGAAGGGAGUAAAGUUAAUACCU